UACGUAGGUCGCAAGCGUUGUCCGGAUUUACUGGGCGUAAAGAGCGCGCAGGCGGCUGGUCAAGUCCGAUGUGAAAUCUCCCGGCUCAACUGGGAAACUGCAUCGGAAACUGAUCGGCUUGAAGAUGGGAGAGGGUAGUGGAAUUCCCGGUGUAGUGGUGAAAUGCGCAGAUAUCAGGAGGAACACCGGUGGCGAAGGCGGGUCUCUGGGCAACAACUGACGCUGAAGAGCGAAAGCGUGGGGAGCGAACAGG
rnacentral:rRNA from 1 species